rnacentral:lncRNA from 1 species
UUCUCACCAGGAAUUUUAAGUUAUGAUUAAAAAAAAAUUUCAGUAGAAAAGUAUUUUUCACAUGGAAAAAUUCCAGUAAUAAAUUAAAGGUGUUCUCAGUGAGCACACUGAACAUGUGGGAAAGUGCUAAAAAUAUGAUGAUCUCCUGUAAGCAGUUAGAUGUUAUCUUAUUGAUCUAGUUUUACAAGCUAAUGAUCCACAGGACACUCUCUCAUAUUAAUUACAGUGUUUGUUGUAUUAUUUAUUGUCAGGUAUUACAGAAUAAAUUUUAAAACCAUUUAAAACUUGGAGUUCAGGAAAAGAAUAGAUAAAACAAAUUUGCCUGGGAUGAGACCAUUUAUGGGUAUUUCUAAUACAAAAGUCAUUUCAUACUUAUGUUGUACAAAAAUGUGAUUCUUUUGUUCCAGGAACUGAGACUUUCUGCCAGUUAAUCAUCUCCUUUAUUGCCUAUACUUAUGAUGAAGAACUGAACCAAGCCCUACAUUUUACUCUGAUGGAAAAGUUAUCAGUGAGAUCAAAGAGGCAAGUCAUAAGAAGAAAGAAGAAAGUCAUAAUCCCACAUACUUGCUGGGGUGGGAUGUAUAAGAAGUUAUUUGAAAAAACGAGAAUAUGAAGGAAACCAGUGUGUUUGUUAAAUGCCUUCAGUAAAAAUACUUGCUGCGUUCUAUCAGGCACAAAAGUUGCAGACUGCCUAAAUAUACACUUCUCUAUCUACAUUUUUACCUUUGCAAAAGGAGGAGGAUCUGUUUUGUUACCCUGAGCUUAUACAGCUUGUCUCCUUUUUAGAUCUUCUUUACUGAUAUCAAACUACUGAGCUUGUUGAAGCUUCAAAUGUGCCAAAUGCUUUGGAGCGAGGGGUUGGACUCCCGCCCAGAACAGGUGCACAGGUGUUCACUGUGACAAUAUUAAAAUAUUUUACAAACAAAAUCUCUCCCUAGACAGCUACAAUGAGCAGCCUGUGCCCUUUUAGAUGCUUUCCGGGGCUUGGGAACACCUUUCUUAAACAGGCAGUUUAUUUUCUGAUAAGAAGCAGAAAGACUUCAUUUACGGUUGCUUAAUGCUAUUAGAGUCUGUGCACGCAGUUUCUAUAACAAGAUAGGAAAAACAAGCCAAGUCUUCUGCGUAGGAUUUUUCUGAUCUCCAGGAUAUAGGAACACACCUAUGGUAUCUUGGUAUAUGACUCACUGGGUUGCUGAUGUCACACAGUAUCUACUGCUGGGCUCGGGUAAGUGAUAGAAAGAGUUCACCAUAGGACAACAGCUUCUUGUACGCUGCCAUUUCACCUCCCCAUUCUAAAAAGGUAAUCGGGAAGGAAGUUACUUUAAAACAUAAAACAAAACUACGCUCAGAGACAGAAAAGAAACACUGUUUUCCAUUCUUAAGGCAGUGCUGUUAAUAUU